AGUGAACGCUGGCGGUAGGCCUAACACAUGCAAGUCGAACGGCAGCACAGUAAGAGCUUGCUCUUACGGGUGGCGAGUGGCGGACGGGUGAGGAAUACAUCGGAAUCUACUUUUUCGUGGGGGAUAACGUAGGGAAACUUACGCUAAUACCGCAUACGCCCUACGGGUGAAAGCAGGGGAUCUUCGGACCUUGCGCGAUUGAAUGAGCCGAUGUCGGAUUAGCUAGUUGGCGGGGUAAAGGCCCACCAAGGCGACGAUCCGUAGCUGGUCUGAGAGGGUGAUCAGCCACACUGGAACUGAGACACGGUCCAGACACCUACGGGAGGCAGCAGUGGGGAAUAUUGGACGAUGGGCGCAAGCCUGAUCCAGCCAUACCGCGUGGAUGAAGAAGGCCUUCGGGUUGUAAAGCCCUUUUGUUGGGAAAGAAAAGCAGCAGGUUAAUACCCCGCUGUUCUGACGGUACCCAAAGAAUAAGCACCGGCUAACUUCGU
rnacentral:rRNA from 1 species